rnacentral:lncRNA from 1 species
GUAAAUGCUUAUUUUAAAGUUACUUCUUCUGUGUUUGUAGCCCAUGCCCUAUGAUUCAAGCCAGGCUUCUAAGGGCUAAUCUCUGCUCACAAUUACUUCAGCCCAUAACAUCUAAGUGUUCCUUCUAUGUGUGGGGUACAAGGACCCCGCAAGAGACAAGCACGUGUUCAGGUCACUACCAAAGCACUCAGUCUGAAAGCUAUCCCCAAGCUAUACUCAGCUCACUGCAGAAUCCCACUGCUACUUUCCUUCAUUAAAGAAGCAAGUUCCAGCCCCAGGCAACCAAGCCAUCUGCCAGGAAGCAAGGGAAAGGCUGGACAGCAGCUCUUUGCUGCUGGGGGCAGUUGUCUACAUGAGUUGAGAACUGAAAGCCGUUGAGAUACCCACCUUCCUGUAGAGACCGUGGGGGUUCUACUAUAGACCUCUAACUCAGAGGAAGCAGAUUGAAGGGCUUGGAUAGCACGGGAGAUGCACAGCAUUGAGGGUGGAAGUCAGAGUUGGGGAGUCUGCAGUGCUGAGUGACCUUAAGUUCAUAGUACUCCUGCCUGGAGAGAGGAAUGGGGG